rnacentral:rRNA from 1 species
UGCAAGUCGAACGAGAAAGCCCGCAAGGGUAAGUAAAGUGGCGUCCGGGUGAGUAACACGUGGAAAUCUGCCCUUUGGUGAAGAAUACCCUCGAGAAAUCGAGGCUAAUACUGCAUAAGUCGGAAACGAGAAAGGUGGCCUCUUUGCUACCGCCAAAGGAUGAGUCUGCGGCCUAUUAGUUAGUUGGUAGGGUAAAGGCCUACCAAGACGAAGAUGGGUAGCCGGCCUGAGAGGGUGUACGGCCACAAUGGAACUGACACACGGUCCAUACUCCUACGGGAGGCAGCAGUGGGGAAUAUUGCACAAUGGGCGCAAGCCUGAUGCAGCGACGCCGCGUGAGGGAAGAAGGUUUUCGGAUUGUAAACCUCUGUUAAGUGGGAAAAAAUCCCGAUGGUUAAUACCCGAUCGGGGAUGAUGGUACCACUAGAGAAAGUACCGGCAAACUUCGUGCCAGCAGCCGCGGUAAUACGAAGGGUACGAGCGUUAUUCGGAGUUACUGGGCGUAAAGAGCGUGUAGGCGGUUAGUUAAGUCAGUUGUUAAAUUCCCCGGCCUAACUGGGGACCCGCAACUGAAACUGGCUAGCUAGAGUGCAAGAGAGAGAAGUAGAAUUCCCGGAGUAGCGGUAAAAUGCGUAGAUCUCGGGAGGAAUACCGAUGGCGAAGGCAGCUUCUUAGCUUGUAACUGACGCUAAAGCGCGAA